GACGAACGCUGGCGGCGUGCCUAACACAUGCAAGUCGAACGAGGUCCAUGAGGUGGCAACACCUCGGAAGACCUAGUGGCGAACGGGUGAGUAACACGUGAGGAACUUGCCCCGGAGACUGGGAUAACCCUCCGAAAGGAGGGCUAAUACCGGAUACCUCCACCUGGUCGCAUGGCCGGGUGAAGAAAUGGAUUCCGCUCCGGGAGAGCCUCGCGGCCUAUCAGCUAGUUGGUGGGGUAACGGCCCACCAAGGCNUCGACGGGUAGCUGGUCUGAGAGGACGAUCAGCCACACUGGGACUGAGACACGGCCCAGACUCCUACGGGAGGCAGCAGUGGGGAAUCUUGCGCAAUGGGCGAAAGCCUGACGCAGCAACGCCGCGUGC
rnacentral:rRNA from 1 species